GAACUGUAGACUUAUUAUUUGUAUCCAAUUAUAGGCAGACUUCUUGAAGGGAUUGCCAGUCUAUAAUGAAAGCAACUUCAGUCGAUUUCAUGCAGAUUCAGUUUGUAAAGCUUCGAAUAGACGACCAUCUGUGUACCUCCCAACGCGCGAAUACCCAUCCGAACAGAUCAUUGUAACAGAAAAGACCAAUAUAUUGCUUCGAUACCUCCAUCAACAAUGGGACAAAAAGGUAAGCUGGCUGACAGUUGUUGGG